CUCGCUUAUAGCUGCCAGGAUUCUGUUAUAUCGACAUCAUCUUCGCCAGUCCCUGCUCUCCUCUUGGCUGGUGACUUGGCUGGUGACAUGGUGUGACUUCCUUGUGGACAGCAUUGUGGACAGCAGUCAUCAUCUUGCCAGUGAUGGGUUAUGACAGUACUCAUCUUCAGCAACAACAUGGAGUUAAAACAGCACUCGUCUCCAUGUGACAGGCAACACAAUACUGUCUCGGCCACUCCAAGCACCCAUUAUUCUCCUUAUUUGAUUCAGCUUCUCCAUUUCUCUAGUUCAUCAUUCUCUCACAGCCUUGCCAGGCUCCCUUCAGCCCAGGAAGUGAAAUCCUUGAUGUACCUCCUCUUGGUGUCCAUUAGUGAUGCAAGGUGAGUAAGGCUGCACAACUCAAGGUGAACAGUAACCUCCCAUCCAUUUCAGGCUGACGGAGGGGCAAGCCAGUCUCUCUUAAUCAUGGAAAACAUCAACAGGUUUGAGAGACGUGCUUGCUAAUUGUCACUGCAGGUAGGCCACUCUCCCCUGCCACAGUGCAUCACCACACACUGGAUCAGAAUCUCUGGGGGGGGUCAUGGCAGCCUGCGGCCAUCACCACUAAUCCUUCCUGCAUUUCUGAAGCUUAGCCAACUCCAUCUCCACCUUCUCCAGCCCCCUGCUCUGUGCGAGUGUUCAUCUCCAUUGACACAGCCGUGCUCAGAACUCCCGACACAAGCCCCGACGUUCGCUACACUUGUCUUCAACAGUUAUCUGUUGAAGCCACGCGAGGAAGCACGUCACCACCGCCGCCACCACCACCACCACCACCACCACCACCACCACCACCACGCCAUGCCCUUCCACCACGUCUCGCCUCACCCGUCACGUCCUGGGCUUGUAGUAAGAGUGAGGAGGAGGAGAUGAUGGAGGAGGAGGAGGAGGAGGAGGAGGAGGAGGAGGAGGAAUACAUAGGAAAGACGAUUGACAGGAAGCCUUGCGACCUAUGACGAGGUCACUCGUUCACUAUACUACAUCUAUAAUAAGCUAUAUACUUAGCAGGAGGCAAGGAUAGAACAGAAGAACCUCCUCCCCACCCACCACUCCCUCCGGCGUUACCCGGCAAGAAAUAAAACGAAAAGUUCACCCCGAUUGCUGAGAGGAACAAUCGGGGAAAUUUAUAUAGGAAAGAUGGGAAAAAGAAGAGACCUACUGUGACUACUGCUAUCGCAAAAAAAAAAAAAAAAAAAAAAAAAUCGGAAACCAUUUUAUUUAUAAAACUUAUCUAAUUAAGUUUUGAAGGUAGCCGCCGUAUUAACUUGCACUACAGACCCUGGUAACUGCUGGUACCUUAUUCCAACAACUUAUUCCAACAUUCAACUACUCUUACGUUAAAAAAGUUUCUUCGCAAAUCAGUAUUACAUCGCUGUCCUUUAAGUUUCAAGCCGUUACUUCUUGUUACUGAUUGCGACAGCUGAAAGAGAUUUUUGUAAUCUAUUUUAUCUAUAUUCUUAAGUAUUUUGAACGUUUGGAUGAGAUCACCUCGGAUGUGACAAUCUCUAAGAGAAAACGUAUCUAAUCUUUUUAGACGUUCAUCAUGACAGACCACGUAUUUCUGGGAUUAGUUUGGUUGCUCGUCUUUGCACGCUCUCCAAUUUCUUAAUGUUUUUCUGAUAGCAUGGAGACCAGAACUGAACCGCAUAUUCUAAAUGCGGUCUCACUAAUGACGUAUAUAGACGCGUUAUGACUUCGGGUGUUUUACAAUCAAAAUUACGCGCAAUAAAUCCUAAGACAGUGUUUGCUUUACGACUCGCGGCCAAACACUGCGUUGCACAUUUGAAGUCAUUUGUUACUAAUACCCCCAGGUCCUUCUCUUCAGUAACUUUUAUUAAAUUUUGUCAUGUAAUUUAUAAUUAUAUUUUACAUUGUUCUGACCGAUGUGCAUUACUUUGCAUUUAUCUCCAUUAUGCAUUUAUCUCCAUUUAAAAUUUAACGGCCUUUAGCCGCUCCAGCUACUAAGGUUAUCUAAAUCUUGCUGGAUGACAUCACAAUCGUCUCACAAUCGGCGAAUUUUGAUAUUCUUGACACAAUGCCGCAGUCUAAGUCAUUUAUAUACAUCAAAAAAAGUAACGGACCCAAAACUGAACCUUGGGGGACACCACUCGUAACUUGAAGCCAGUCGGAAGCUUCUCCAUUUAUACUCGUUGUUUUCUAUUUAUUAGCCAACUUUCAAUCCAACCACACAACUGCUCUCCCAUUC